AAAUAGUGACAAUGUUCUAGUGACUAGAUUAUUAUGCAAUAUAUACAUCGUUAGAUAAAAAUAUCAUUUCCUCACUAGAUAAAUGUUCAAAAAAAAUUGUCCUUUUGACAAAUAUUUGUCGAUAUUAUGACAUGUACUAACAAAAUUGUUUCAGAUCAUCGCAAAGAGAAAAUCAUACUCAUGUAUACCGCGUGAUCCAAUAAGACAACUGUUCUUCGGCCAUAUCUCGGGAACCGUUUAUUGUAUGACUUAGAGUUCUGAAAAUGACCACCAGAGGGUAUAACUGCCAUCUUAAAUUUUAAAAUUGAAUUUUCCUUAAAUUUCGCCUAAUAACUAGAAUUUUUUUUACAUUUUUAAAGAGAACCAG